rnacentral:lncRNA from 1 species
UUUUUUUAUUUUUAUUUUUAUAUUUUUUUUUAAUUUUUUUUAUUGGUGUUCAAUUUACUAACAUACAAUAACACCCAGUGCCCGUCACCCAUCACUCCCCCACCCCCGCCCUCCUCCCCUUCUACCACCCUAGUUCGUUUCCCAGAGUUAGCACAGUCUUUACGUUCUGUCUCCCUUUCUGAUAUUUCCCACACAUUUCUUCUCCCUUCCCUUAUAUUCCCUUUCACUAUUAUUUAUCUUCCCCAAAUGAAUGAGAACAUAUAAUGUUUGUCCUUCUCCGACUGACUUACUUCACUCAGCAUAAUACCCUCCAGUUCCAUCCACGUUGAAGCAAAUGGUGGGUAUUUGUCAUUUCUAAUAGCUGAGUAAUAUUCCAUUGUAUACAUAAACCACAUCUUCUUUAUCCAUUCAUCUUUCGUUGGACACCGAGGCUCCUUCCACAUUUGGCUAUCGUGGCCCUUGCUGCUAUAAACAUCGGGGUGCAGUGUCCCGGCGUUUCAUUGCAUUUGUAUCUUUGGGGUAAAUCCCCAACAGUGCAUUGCUGGUCGUAGGGCAGGUAUAUUUUUAACUGUUUGGGAACCUCCACACAUUUUGCAGAGUGGCUGCACCAGUUCACAUUCCCACCAACAGUGUAAGAGGGUUCCCUUUUCUCCGCAUCCUCUCCAACAUUUGUUGUUUCCUGCCUUGUUAAUUUUCCCAUUCUCAUGGUGUGAGGUGGUAUCUAUUGUAGUUUUGAUUUGUAUUUCCCUGAUGGCAAGUGUGCAGAACAUUUCUCAUAUGCAUGUUGGCCAUGUCUGUCUUCCUCUGUGAGAUUUCUGUUCAUGUCUUUUGCCCAUUUCUGAUUGGAUUGUUUGUUUCUUUGGUGUUGGUUUGAUAGUUCUUUUAGAUCUUGGAAACUAGCCCUUUAUCUGAUAUGUCAUUUGCAUAAUCUUCUCCCUUCGUUAGGUUGUCUUUGAGUUUUGUUGACUGUAUCCUUUGCUGUGCAAAAGCUUCUUUCUUGUGAGUCCCAAUGUUCAUUUUUGCUUUUGUUUCUUUUGCCUCUGUGGAUGUAUCUUGCAGAAGUUACUAUGGCCGAGUUCAAAAGGGUGUUGCCUGUGUUCUUCUCUAGGAUUUUGAUGGAAUCUUGUCUCACAUUUGAUCUUUCAUCCAUUUUGGUUAUCUUUGUGUAUGGUGAAAGAGAGUGGUCUAGUUUCAUUCUUCUGCAUGUGGAUGUCCAAUUUUCCCAGCACCAUUUAUUGAAGAGCUGUCUUUCUUCCAAUGGAUAGUCUUUCCUCCUUUAUCGAAUAUUAGUUGCCCAAAAGUUCAGGGUCCACUUCUGGAUUCUCUAUUCUGUUCCACUGAUCUUGUGUCUGUUUUUGUGCCAGUACCACACUGUCUUGAUGACCACAGCUUUGUGUACAACCUGAGUCUGGCAUUGUGAUGCCCCCAGAUAUGGUUUUCUUUUUUAAAAUUCCCCUGGCUUUCGGGGUCUUUUGAUUCCACACCAAUCUUAAAAUAAUUUGUUCUAACUCUCUGAAGAAAGUCCAUUUUAUUUUGGUAGGGAUUGCAUUAAACGUUUAUUGCCCUGGGUAACUUGCAUUUUCACAGUAUAUUCUGCCAAUCCAUGAGCAUGGAAUAUUUUUCCAUCUCUUUGUGUCUUCUCACAUUUCUUUCAGAAGUUUUCUAUAGUUUUGAGGGUAUAGAUCCUUUACAUCUUUGGUUAGGUUUAUUCCUAGGUAUCUUAUGCUUUUGGGUACAUUGUAAUGGGAUUGACUCCUUAAUUUCUCUUCUUCAGUCUCAUUGUUAGUGUAUAGAAUGCCACUGACUCUGGGCAUUGAUUUUGUAUCCUGCCACGCUACCGAAUUGCUUUAUGAGUUCUAGCAAUCUUGGGGUGGAGACUUUUGGGUUUUCUAUGUAGAGUAUCAUGUCAUCGGCGAAGAGGGAGAGUUUGACUUCUUCUUUGCCAAUUUGAAUGCCUUUAUGUCUUUUGUUGUCUGAUUGCUGGGCUAGGACUUCCAGUACUAUGUUGAACAGCAGUGGUGAGAUGGGACAUCCCUGUCUUGUUCCUGAUCUUAGGGGAAAGGCUCCUAGUGCUUCCUCAUUGAGAAUGAUAUUUGCUCUUGGGCUUUUCAUAGAUGGCUUUUAAGUGUCGAGGAAUGUUCCCUCUAUCCCUACACUCUGAAGAGUUUUGAUCCGGAAUGGAUGCUGUUUUGUCCAUGCUUUCUCUGCAUCCAAUGAGAGGAUCUUGGUUCUUGGUUUUUUCUCUGCUGAUAUGAUGAAUCACAUUGAUUGUUUUACGGGUGUUGAACCAGCCUUGUGUCCCAGGGAUAAAUCCUACUUUGUCAUGGUGAAUAAUUUUCUUAGUGUACUGUUGGAUCCUAUUGGCCAGUAUCUUGUUGAGAAUUUUUGCAUCCAUGUUCAUCAGGGAUAUUGGUCUGUAAUUCUCCUUUUUGGUGGGGUCUUUUUCUGGCUUUGGAAUUAAGGUGAUGCUGGCUUCAUAGAACGAAUUUGGAAGUACUCCAUCUCUUUCUAUCUUUCCAAACAGCUUUAGGGAUAGGUAUGUUUCUUCUUUAAACGUUUGAUAAAUUCCCCUGGGAAGCCAUCUGGCCCUGGACUCUUGUGUCUUGGGAGGUUUUUGAUGACUGCUUCAAUUUCCUCCCUGGUUAUUGGCCUGUUCAGGUUUUCUAUUUCUUCCUGUUCCAGUUUUGGUAGUUUGUGGCUUUCCAGGAUGCGUCCAUUUCUUCUAGAUUGCCUAUUUAUUGGCGUAUAGCUGUUCAUAAUAUGUUUUUAAAAUCGUUUGUAUUUCCUUGGUGUUGGUAGUGAUCUCUCUUUCUCAUUCAUGAUUUCAUUAAUUUGAGUCUUCUCUCUCUUCUUUUUAAUAAGGCUGGCUAAUGGUUUAUCUAUCUUAUUAAUUCUUUCAAAACCAACUCCUGGUUUGUUGAUCUGUUCCACAGUUCUUCUGGUCUCGAUUUCGUUGAGUUCUGCUCGAAUCUUUAUUAACUCCUUCUUCUCUUGGGUGUGGAUCUAUUUGCUGUUUUUUCUCUAGCUCCUUUAUGUGUAAGGUUAGCUUUUGUAUUUGAGUUCUUUCCAGUUUUUGAUGGUGCUUGUAUUGCGAUGUAUUUCCCCCUUAGGACUGCUUUUGCUGCAUCCCAAAGAUUUUGAACGUUGUAUCUUCUUCUCAUUAGUUUCCAUGAAUCUUUUAUUUCUUCCUUAAUUUCCUGGUUGACCCUUUUAUCUUUUGCAGGAUGGUCCUUAACCUCCACGUGUUGAGGUCCUUCCAAACUUCUUGUUGUGAUUUGUUCUAAUUUCAAGGCAUUAUGGUCCGAGAAUAUGCAGGGGACAACCCAAUCUUUGGUAUCGGUUCAGACCCGAUUUGUGUCCCAAUAUGUGGUCUAUUCUGGAGAAAGUUCCAUGUGCGCUUGAGAAGAAUGUGUAUUCAGUUGAGUUUGAUGUAAGUUCUGUAGAUAUCUGUGAAAUCCAUCUGGUCCAGUGUAUCAUUUAAAGCUCUCGUUUCUUUGGAGAUGUUGUGCUUAGAAGACCUAUCGAGUAUAGAAAGAGCUAGAUUGAAGUCCACAAGUAUAAGUGUAUUAUUAUCUAAGUAUUUCUUCACUUUGGUUAUAAUUGAUUUAUAUAUUGGCAGCUCCCACAUUCGGAGUAUAUAUAUUGAGGAUUGUUAGCUCUUGUUGAAUAGAUCCUUUAAGUAUGAUAUAGUGUCCCUUUCAUCUCUCACUACAGUCUUUGGGGUAAAUUUUAGUUUAUCUGAUAUAGGAUGGCUACCCCUGCUUUCUUUUGAGGACCAUUCGAAAGGUAAAUGUUCUCCAACCUUUUUUUUUCAGGCUGUAGGUGUCUUCUGUCUAAAUGAGUCUCUUGUAACAGCAAAUGAUGGGUCCUGCUUUUUUAUCCAGUCUGAAACCCUGCGCCUUUUGAUGGGGUCAUUAAGCCCGUUCACAUUCAGAGUUACUUGAGAGAUAUGAGUUUAGUGUCUCAUGAUAUCUAUUCAGUCUUUGUUUGUGGACUGUUCCACUGAACUUCUUCUUUAAAGGGGAAUUUAAGAGGCCCCCUUAAAUUUCUUGCAGAGCUGGUUUGGAGGUCACAUAUUCUUUUAGUUGCCCUGUCUUGGAAGCUCUUUAUCUCUCCUUCCAUUUUGAAUGGAGCCUUGCUGGAUAAAGUUCUGGUUGCAUGUUCUUCUCAUUUAGGACCCUGAAUAUAUCCUGCCGCCCUUUGUGGCCUGCCAGGUCUCUGUGGAGAGUUCUGCUGUUACCCUAAUACUCCUCCCCAUAAAAGUCAGGGAUUCUUGUCUCUUGCUGCUUUAAGGAUCUUCUCCUUAUCUUUGGAAUUUGCAAGCUUCACUAUUAAUGUCGAGGUGUUGAAUGGUUUUUAUUGAUUUUAGGAGGGAUCUCUCUAUUUCCUGGAUCUGAAUGCCUGUUUCCCUUCCCAGAUUAGGAAAGUUUUCAGCUGAAUUUGUUCAAAUACAUUUCUGGCCCUCUUGUCCUUUCGUCGCCCUCGGGAACCCCCCUUAACGUAGGUUUUUCUUCCUCAGGCUGUCGUUUAUUUCCCUUAAUCUAUCUUCAUGGUCUUUAAUUGUUUGUCUCUUUUUUCCUCAGUUUCCCUCUUGCUUCACUUGUCUUCUAUGUCACUCACUCGUUCUUCCACCUCGUUAACCCUCGUCGUUAGGACUUCUAGUUUGGAUUGCUCUCAUUCAAUUGAUUUUUAAUUUCUGCCUGAUUAGCUCUAAAUUCUGCAGUCAUGAAGUCUCUUGAGUCCUUUAUACUUUUUUCUAGAGCCACCAGUGCUGUAUAAUAGUGCUUCUGAAUUGGCUUUCUGACAUUGAAUUGUAAUCCAGAUUUUGUAACUCUGUGGGAGAGAGGACUGUUUCUGAUUCUUUCUUUUGAGAUGGUUUUCCUUCUAGUCAUUUUGCUCAGUG